rnacentral:rRNA from 1 species
AGAGUUUGAUUCAUGGCUUCAGAAGCGAACGCUGGCGGCGUGGUUUAGGCAUGCAAGUCGAGCGAAUUAUUUUGUUUGAAGUUCUUGAAGCCGCAAGGCAGAUGGGAUGGAAGAUGGAAUAGUUAGCGGCAAACGGGUGAGUAACGCGUGGGUAAUCUGCCCUCGAGUGGGGGAUAACAUCCCGAAAGGGGUGCUAAUACCGCAUAAGCCCACAGCCUCGAAGGAGGCAGUGGGAGAAGCUGGGGACCGAAAGGCCUGGCGCUUGAGGAUGAGCCCGCGUUCCAUCAGCUAGUUGGUAGGGUAACGGCCUACCAAGGCUAUGACGGAUAGCUGGCCUGAGAGGGUGGUCAGCCACACUGGGACUGAGACACUGCCCAGACUCCUACGGGAGGCUGCAGUCGAGGAUAUUUUUCAAUGGGCGCAAGCCUGAAAAUGCGACGCCGCGUACAGGAUGAAGGCCUUCGGGUCGUAAACUGUUGUCAAGCUGAAAGAAUACCUGUCCCAAUAACAUCGGGAUCGGUUGACGGUACAGCUGGAGGAAGCCACGGCCAACUCCGUGCCAGCAGCCGCGGUAAUACGGAGGUGGCAAGCGUUGCUCGGAUUUAUUGGGUGUAAAGGGUCGGUAGGCGGUUUGGUAAGUGCCCGAUGAAAUUCCACGGCUUAACCGUGGAGCGCUUGGGUAGACUGCCAGACUUGAGGACUGGAGGGGCAAGCGGAAUUCCCGGUGUAAGAGUGAAAUCUGUAGAUAUCGGGAGGAACACCAGUGGCGAAGGCGGCUUGCUGGACAGUCCCUGACGCUGAGCGACGAAAGCGUGGGGAGCAAACAGGAUUAGAUACCCUGGUAGUCCACGCUGUAAACGGU